rnacentral:tRNA from 2 species
GGGCAUGUGGUGGAAUUGGUAUACACGUACGCUUCAGGUGCGUAUGCCGCAAGGCUUGGAGGUUCGAGUCCUCUCAUGCCCACAA